rnacentral:rRNA from 1 species
AUUGAACGCUGGCGGCAGGCCUAACACAUGCAAGUCGAGCGGAUGAAGGGAGCUUGCUCCUGGAUUCAGCGGCGGACGGGUGAGUAAUGCCUAGGAAUCUGCCUGGUAGUGGGGGAUAACGUCCGGAAACGGGCGCUAAUACCGCAUACGUCCUGAGGGAGAAAGUGGGGGAUCUUCGGACCUCACGCUAUCAGAUGAGCCUAGGUCGGAUUAGCUAGUUGGUGGGGUAAAGGCCUACCAAGGCGACGAUACGUAACUGGUCUGAGAGGAUGAUCAGUCACACUGGAACUGAGACACGGUCCAGACUCCUACGGGAGGCAGCAGUGGGGAAUAUUAGACAAUGGGCGAAAGCCUGAUCCAGCCAUGCCGCGUGUGUGAAGAAGGUCUUCGGAUUGUAAAGCACUUUAAGUUGGGAGGAAGGGCAGUAAGUUAAUACCUUGCUGUUUUGACGUUACCAACAGAAUAAGCACCGGCUAACUUCGUG